AGCGGGGUGUGUGAGGGAGCGGCAGUUGCUCACUCGCCCCUUGCUCGCAUCGCUGUCCUGCUUAGCCUGCCCUGCCUCAGUGCCGGUAGCCGCCAUUCCCUCAGCAGAGCUGCAACUGACUGCCAUUGCUGUAGUGUGAUGUCUAUUGAGAGCUAGAAGUAUUGGAAUGAAUCUGCCUCUUAUUGUUUCCUAACCCAUUCAAGAUUCCUGCUGCAGUGAGCUUUUUGGACAGAUUGGAUUUCUGUGUGAGAAACAGAUCUCAAGUCUGCUUUUAAAGAAGACAGCUGUUCAGUCAUUAUAUUUACCUGAGAAGCCCUGUUGAAUUAAUUUAAUCUAUGUGACAAUUUAUUGCUCAGAAAUUAUUUGGCUUAACUCCUUUCAGAGUUCUUGUAAUGAAUUUGUGCCUGUAGAAUAUGAUUAACCAUUACAAGGUAGGUGAGUUAUUGGUAAGACUUAAGAGCAACAGGUAUCAGUAUCUUGUAUGCUUAAGCAUGAUUAGGUAUUAUUGAAGGUUAGUAUGCAAGGAAGACAUAGAAAUUCUCCAGAGAAUAACAGCAUCUGGUUAAUCUUUAUAGCAAGUUCAGAAGUCAGUGCUUUGCAGAAUAUCACGUGAACUGUGAAUAACCUGGCUAAUCUGUCUGAGACUUUGAUGCCUUGUUACCUUAUUGCAAAAGUGUAGCAUUACUGUA